GCUGCUCUCCUUCCCUUCUCUUUCAGGUGCGGAGACCCCAAGGCGCGGCCUCGCCCUCGUGGGGCUGCAGGGAUGCAGUGGGGUCCUGGCAGGGGGCGGCUCACAGCGGCUUCUCUUGGAGUCCUUGUCAGCACAGCUCAGGGCCAGAGCUCACAAGCGGAUCCAGACCCGGCCCCAGUGCUGGGCCUCACCCAGGAGAGUUUGCUGGCUAAAGGGCUUCAGACCUGCUCGGCCCUGUGAUGCCCUGGGCCCUCCAGGAUUUCAGAUCAGCUCGGGGUGCCCUCCCUCCGGGCCCACAGCCUGGCACACGCGCUACUGCAGCGCCUCAGCGCCGACCUCGCUAGUUCCCCAGCACAAAAUGCGAAAUGCUGGGUGUUGGGUCAGCGCCCACAGGCAGAAAUGCCUUUAAGGAGCUCCCAGCCUAGAAGAGGACCUGACAGCCAGCUUUCCCAUUGUCCACUGAGUAUGAAUGCUGUUCAUUUAUAACCCAACUGAGAAAACGUGGAUUUAAAAAAAAACAGAAUUACCAAAUGUAAUGUUUUUCUAAGACGUCAUCUAUCGAAUGAAGUGAUUCUGGUUGGAUUGGUCUUUCAAGACCUUCCUUUGUGAUUAGUUAUUUCCUUAAAUUUUUUAUUUUUUAUUAAAAUAAUGUGUCAAUUGCAUAAAAUUCAGAAGAAGAUAUCAAGGUGUAAGAAGAGUUUGUAGUUAUCCAUAAACCUGUCAGGUAGUGAUAAUCACUGACUAUUUUGGUAUUUUUCAUUCAUUUUGUCUGGAUACAUACAUAAAUGUAUAUAAAUAAAUAUGUGCAGAUAUGGAA